rnacentral:rRNA from 1 species
UUAGUCAAUGCUCGCAAGAGUGAACUAGCUAACUGAAAUCAUACUUGUGUCAAGUGUGAUAACGUAAGGGAAGAUAAUGACAUUACCUUACUAUUAGUGUUGUCCAAAACUGGUGCCAGAAGACUCGGUAAGACCAGAGACGCGAACGUUAAUCGUCCUAAUCAGGCGUAAAGGGUGUGUAGGCAGCUUUAAAAUUUUUCUUAUUACUUAAAUUCUUUUAUAUAUUUAAAAGUCUAAAUUUAUUUAAUGUAGACUAAUUAAUUCGUAUUAAUGAAAAAUUAUUUAAUUAUUAAGAAUUAAUUAAAGUAAAGAUAAAAUUAAUAAAAGCUAGAAUCAAAUAGAGGAUAUUUAAAUAAUAUUUAGAGGAGGGGUGAUAUCCUUAGAUACUAAAUAGAAUAUUAAUGGUGAAAGCUUUUAUCUAUUAAUGAUUGACGCUGAGAAACGAAGGUGAGGAUAGGAAAUAGGAUUAGAUACCCAGAUACCCCUCUCUGUCAACGAUGAAUGGUGGUUGCUAAUUAUAUAAAUUAAUUGGUGGCGAUGUUAACACGAUAACCAUUCCGCCAUGUGAGUACGACUGCAAAGUUGAAAACAAAAAAAUUAGUCGGUCUCGAAGCAAACGAAGUGAAGCAUGUUAUUUAAU